UACGGAGGGGGCUAGCGUUGUUCGGAUUUACUGGGCGUAAAGCGCGCGUAGGCGGCUUGGAAAGUUGGGAGUGAAAGCCCAGGGCUCAACCGCGGAGCUGCUCUCAAAACUGCCAAGCUAGAGAUCUGGAGAGGUUGGUGGAAUUCCAAGUGUAGAGGUGAAAUUCGUAGAUAUUUGGAAGAACACCAGUGGCGAAGGCGGGUCUCUGGCCAGAUACUGACGCUGAGGUGCGAAAGCGUGGGGAGCAAACGGG
rnacentral:rRNA from 1 species